UAUGUGAUCGUCUCUCGCAUAUCAAUAAGCGGAGGAAAAGAAACUAACAAGGAUUCCCCUAGUAACGGCGAGUGAAGCGGGAAGAGCUCAAAUUUGAAAUCUUAAAGGGUUUCCCUUUACGAAUUGUAGUUUAAAGAAGUGUUUUCUGUUGAGGUUUUGGUAAAAGUUCUUUGGAAUAGGACAUCAUAGAGGGUGAGAAUCCCGUAUUUGACCUUUACUUUCAACUUUGUGAUACACUUUCAAAGAGUCGGAUUGUUUGGGAAUGCAGUCCAAAAUGGGUGGUAAAUUUCAUCUAAAGCUAAAUAUUGGCGAGAGACCGAUAGCGAACAAGUACCGUGAGGGAAAGAUGAAAAGAACUUUGAAAAGAGAGUUAAACAGUACGUGAAAUUGUCAAAAGGGAAGCGUUUGACAUCAGUGUUGUUUUUCUGAAAAUCAAUUAAAGAACUGUUUAUGCUAAGCUGUUUAGACUUUAUCAGCUAUCUGUUUAGUUUUGAGCUUUUCUUUAAUGCACUUUUCAGUUAACAAGUCAACAUCAAUUUCUUUUGCUGUAAAAAAGCUUGAGGAAGGUGGCUUGAGAUUCGUCUUAAGUGUUUAUAGCCUCUUGCCUAUGCAGUCGGAGAGAUUGAGGUCUGCAGCGUAGAUCCUUCGGGGCUAAACGCAUUUGUGCUAAGUUAUAGCAUUUUAUAGACAACUUGUUGACUAUGAUUUGUCUUGUAGCUUACUCGCUUAUGUUAUUUUACCUACGCUUAGGAUGUUGAUAUGCAUGACUGAUAU
rnacentral:rRNA from 1 species